ensembl:lncRNA
CUGGGCCUCCUCUCUGAAUAGGAGGCCUGCUGAAUAGAAGGAACUCAAGCUGACCAGACACUUUGAAAUGCUUGUUUGAGAUACAUUAGCUACAUUGCUGUGCAGACAUAGCCUACAGAAAGCUGCUCUCUUGAGGCAGACAUGGUUAAAGCCAGAACAUACAAACUCUCCUCCUCAGUGAAGGUGGAGCAGCUUGAGGCUGAACUCUCUUUACAGCUGCAGGCGUUGAGGACUGAAAUUGAAAACAAUGAAACACAUGGAUUAUUCACAAAAUCUUACAGCUCUGUCCACAUUCCCAAGGAUGUGUCUUAUUUUCGCACAGAGAGGCAGCAAGUUCUCCAGAAAGGACUGAAGGUUGCAGGGGUGAAACCUGUAGUGUCCCAAGCUGGGGUAAUUCAGAAGGAGCUGGAGAGCUGCCUGGGCCAAGAGUACACACCUGAGAGCUUACCACUCUUACUGCACCAGUUCUUUACAGAUCGAACAUAUCAGCUUGCCCAGUUUAAAUACCAGCUUAUGUUGAGGUGGAAGAGAUUUUGUCGCCAUUCUAUUAUCUUGGAGCAGUUGUAUCCUCAGUACAAGGACCACAUGACUCACUUGACAAAGGAGUUUGAGGAUGCUAAGCACAGAGCUCAUAGGCUCGCUGUAUCCAGAGAAAGGGUUCUCACAGGCACUGGGAACCCCAUCAAUGUGGUCAUGCCAGAAGAUGUGGUCAUCUAUUUGCAGUGGCUUAUAUGCCACCUACACUCAGUUAAGACCAUUCACUGUUUCCUGCAUGUACUUCAUUAUCUUCCCAUGUGUGAGAGAAGACAGGAAGAUAAGAGCAGUUUUCCAAACUUCAGCUCACCUGCUGAAUUUUCAGGCAUGUUUGGAUCCCCAUUAAAAGUACCUUUACACGCUGUAAAAUUAGACGGAUUCCGAGCUCAACUCAAACACCUACUCUCACAUUACAAGAUUCAGUACAAUACAGAGUCCAUCAAGACUUCUGCUGAUCACUUCGAACUCUUUAGCAUGGUCAAAAAUGAGUUCAAGGCCAUCUUCCAAAGUCAAAAUGUGAUGAGUACCUUUCUACAGUGUGAAAGCACAGAGGCUGUAGACACAAAGUGGGGAAGGAGAAGUCCAAACAUGGCUCUCAGGAAGGAAUGCAACUGGAUUCCCCAUAUUCGGGUGAAACCAAAGAGAGACCCCUGGCAACAGAAACAAAUGUUCAGACUGAAAGAAAUGAGAUGUGUGGACGAAUUUCUUCAGAUGCACUCCAGAUCCUGUGAGGUAUAUAAGUAACCUGAGUUUUAGAUGUAGUGUUGUGAAUACCAAAUAUUAUGGGAUAGCAUUAUAUUAAUUAAUCCUGUUGUGUUACCCUAGCCAUCAAGCAGUAGCUUGAGAAUGCCCACAUCUGUAUAAGCUGUAUAGGCCAGCAUGCUCAUGGCAAGUCAGUGUAAAUUAUCAGAGCUUGAACCAGGUAAUAGAGGGUGCCAGAUUGAUGGGACAUUCAUUUCUGAUGAUUCUGAUGAACAUUUCUUAAACCACAAUAUCAUGUGUUUACCAGGAGUAUGUUACAGAAAGCAUUAACACUCGCAGUGGACAGACAGCACAAUGAAUGGUAAUGAUUGUGACUAGUAUCUUCUGGCUAAAACUGUCUGUGCAAACAGACAAGCAUCACUGGCAGAAAUCCCAUCUACAAUCAUUGCAGGAGGUCCCACACAUUCAGCAUUAUUUCGGUUCUUUGCUUGUGAAUGUGCCUUGUUUUGUCUCUGUUAAAGGUUUCAGAUCUCCUGAGAGUCGGUGAAAUCUUGAUGCAGCAUGCAGCUUUUGUCUGUGAACCAAAGUCCAUGGAGUCUUUAUCUGUGACCUCAAAGCCCACUGCAAUGACUGAUUCCUUGAAUAUUUGGAGAAGUAUCUAUAACAUCCCACAUCUUUCUCAGGCAUGGGACUGUUUGAAUUCUAGAUGAAAGUAGUGUGGUUGGUUGGUUUUGGUUUAUCCAACAAAUAAAACAAAACAUGUAUUUACA